GACGAACGCUGGAGGCGUGCUUAACACAUGCAAGUCGAACGGAAAGGCCCUGCUUUUGUGGGGUGCUCGAGUGGCGAACGGGUGAGUAACACGUGAGUAACCUGCCCUUGACUUUGGGAUAACUUCAGGAAACUGGGGCUAAUACCGGAUAGGAGCUCCUGCUGCAUGGUGGGGGUUGGAAAGUUUCGGCGGUUGGGGAUGGACUCGCGGCUUAUCAGCUUGUUGGUGGGGUAGUGGCUUACCAAGGCUUUGACGGGUAGCCGGCCUGAGAGGGUGACCGGCCACAUUGGGACUGAGAUACGGCCCAGACUCCUACGGGAGGCAGCAGUGGGGAAUAUUGCACAAUGGGCGGAAGCCUGAUGCAGCAACGCCGCGUGCGGGAUGACGGCCUUCGGGUUGUAAACCGCCUUCGCCUGUGACGAAGCGUGAGUGACGGUAAUGGGUAAAGAAGCACCGGCUAACUACGUG
rnacentral:rRNA from 1 species